AUUAACCAAUUCGAAUUGCUUAG
rnacentral:miRNA from 1 species